AUUGAACGCUGGCGGCAGGCCUAACACAUGCAAGUCGAACGGUAACAGGAAGCAGCUUGCUGCUUCGCUGACGAGUGGCGGACGGGUGAGUAAUGUCUGGGAAACUGCCUGAUGGAGGGGGAUAACUACUGGAAACGGUAGCUAAUACCGCAUAACGUCGCAAGACCAGAGAGGGGGACCUUAGGGCCUCUUGCCAUCGGAUGUGCCCAGAUGGGAUUAGCUAGUAGGUGGGGUAACGGCUCACCUAGGCGACGAUCCCUAGCUGGUCUGAGAGGAUGACCAGCCACACUGGAACUGAGACACGGUCCAGACUCCUACGGGAGGCAGCAGUGGGGAAUAUUGCACAAUGGGCGCAAGCCUGAUGCAGCCAUGCCGCGUGUAUGAAGAAGGCCUUCGGGUUGUAAAGUACUUUCAGCGGGGAGGAAGGGAGUAAAGUUAAUACCUUUGCUCAUUGACGUUACCCGCAGAAGAAGCACCGGCUAACUCCGUG
rnacentral:rRNA from 1 species